rnacentral:rRNA from 1 species
GACGAACGCUGGCGGCGUGCUUAACACAUGCAAGUCGAACGGAAAGACCCUGCUUUUGUGGGGUGCUCGAGUGGCGAACGGGUGAGUAACACGUGAGUAACCUGCCCUUGACUUUGGGAUAACUUCAGGAAACUGGGGCUAAUACCGGAUAGGAGCUCCUGCUGCAUGGUGGGGGUUGGAAAGUUUCGGCGGUUGGGGAUGGACUCGCGGCUUAUCAGCUUGUUGGUGGGGUAGUGGCUUACCAAGGCCUUGACGGGUAGCCGGCCUGAGAGGGUGACCGGCCACAUUGGGACUGAGAUACGGCCCAGACUCCUACGGGAGGCAGCAGUGGGGAAUAUUGCACAAUGGGCGGAAGCCUGAUGCAGCAACGCCGCGUGCGGGAUGACGGCCUUCGGGUUGUAAACCGCUUUCACCUGUGACGAAGCGUGAGUGACGGUAAUGGGUAAAGAAGCACCGGCUAACUACGUG